rnacentral:lncRNA from 1 species
GUGAGUGCUCCGUGAAUGUUAGUUACUGUGAUUAUUUUUAGCCCAGCAGGACAGGGAGGAGUGUUAGGUCCCUGGGGGCGAUCACUCCUCUGUUUACUCCUCGGACUGUCCCGGCCUGGCAGGCGUUCAUGAGUUUGUUUCUCCUGUCCCAAGGUUGCCCUGGUGCUCUGCAGUGGCAGGGCUGAGAUGAUUAUACAACCUGCACUCCAGGCCAAGUCCGGUACUCGUCCCAGCUGUCGGCUAAGCCUGCACUGCUAUGGAAGGACAGAAUAACGGGCUCCCAGAUUCACAAGCCCCACCAAGAGGAUCACCCCAGGAACGCUUGGAGGCUGAGGAGUUCACUGAGGCUACUGCAUCUUGAGACUCAGGAUGAAGACCCAGCUUGGGGCUGUCAAAGAGGCCUGAAGAGGCAGAACACCCCAGAGGAGCCUGGGGCCACCACCCAGCAUCACUGUGGGAAAACGGCAGCAGGAAAUGUCCUCUCGCCUGCGUGCUCCACCUCGGUCCACGCCUUCCCUCCUUCUGGAAGCCUUGCCUGACCACUGGCCUGCCCCUUCUAUGGGAAUCACUACUGACCUUGCAGCUUAUUAUAGACUUAUAUGUUUUUUGCAUGUCUGACACCCAUGACUCCACCUGGACCUUAUGGCUCCACCCAGAAGCAAUUCAGCCCAACAGGAGGACAGCUUCAACCCAUUACGAUUUCAUCUCUGCCCCAACCACUCAGCAGCAAGCACCUGUUACCUGUCCACCCCCACCCCUUCCCCCAAACUGCCUUUGAAAAAUCCCUAACCUAUGAGCUUUGAAUAAGAUGAGUACGAACUUCAUCGCCCACGUGGCGUGGCCGGCCUCGUGUCUAUUAAAUUC